GGGAGAGGGGAAAAAGGGAACUCCCCUGAUCAUGGUGGCAGUUGCCAAUUUUGGACUUUCAGGGAGAUCUCUUCCACCACCGGAUUCAGCAAGGAAGUCUUGAGGAAGAACUGCUUCAUCCUCCAAAUUUGAUCGAGCAGGGAGAUGUCCUCCACAGCUGGAUCUAAGAAGCAGUGAUUGUUGAUCAGCAGGUUCAGCUGGUGCCUAUUAAUCUUCAAACUGUCGGCACCUUUGUCUUCCACCAUGGGUGUGUGUUGAUCAAAUGCAUGUGUACCUCCUGCAACAUGGUUAGUGCAAUGUGGUUCUACAGAAAUAACAUGCAGGGGUAUAACACCC
rnacentral:lncRNA from 1 species